UACAGCCAUAUCACAUUGAAACACCAGUUCUCAUACAAUCAUUGAAGUUAAGCAACAUCAAGCCUGAUCAGUACCUAGAUGGGUGACUGCUUAGGAAUACUAGGAGUUGUAAG